UGCACAGUGAUCAGAUCGCGUGUUCUGCGUGAUCACAACAGGAAAAGAAACAACACAACAAUAAAGCAAAUUCCUGCCGAGUGGCUGGGAGUAUAUGGAUAAUCAGGCCCGUUCUCUGUAGCGAUGUCCACGUUGGUUCGGUGGCUGGCUGCGGUGGGUGCUCCGAGGCGUGCCGGGGGCAGAGAGGAAGCUCCAGGUUGAUGAAGGUGAUGGUGAUGAGCAAGGAGAACAAGGGAGAACCAAAGGGGCAAGUCUUUGGUCACGGCAGCUUUCUAUAACCGUGUUUUCGGUCACGCCCGUCCCAUUGUGUGGUCCAAUCAGGAUGGCUGACGUCCAAGUUCAUCCGCCGUUUGUCGCUUGUUUUAGCGGGGGAGCCAGGUGUGGUUCCCCCGCACAAAUCUCUUUGUUUCAACUCACUACAACCAGGAUGAAGGCUUUACAUGCAGGCCACAGUGGUUUCUCUCCUUUAGCAUGUGGGACCUUAAAAAUGAUUCUGUUAAUAAAAGUUUACAGUAUGCACAUGAGGUCCCCCAACACUUCAGGCCACAGAGGGUCACACUACGCUGUCUGUUGGUACUGUGCAUCAGAGCACCUCUCUUUUACAGUCAGGGGGAUGUCUUUCAAAGCUCUGCCCAUUUAGAGGUGAGCCGUUCACAGAAGUCACAGUACAGUAUAGUGGGUUUUAACAGGCUUAACAGCAGGCUGAUAUUGUCAUGCUGUCGUCAUGUCACCACUGUAGGUCUACUUUGGUAUUACAUUUUAUUAGGCAGGUGUGUUAGGCAGUAGCAGUAAAUCCUGGAUGCAUCACAUAUUGGCAUAAGUCUGUUACACUCCAGCAUAUCCAAUGCAUCUGAAUGAACAACAAGACAAGAUAAGGAGCGAUGAACUGGGGCCUGCGUCUGAGCUGCUGUUUCAGAAGCAUACGGCUGAGAUCUGUAAAUGACAGAGACCAAGAGAUCAUGGCAUCAUCCACCCUCCCUCCAUCUCCUUCAACUCCAAAAACACUUCCCACCUUAUGAAGCCCACGGUUCAUCCUCAGCCACCUUCACGCAUGGAGAACCCACAAGCUACAGGCCAAAAACAUCUUCCUUCUGCACUGGGCACUGACUCACCUGGAAGCUGCUGGAACCUCUUUGAAAGUCAUGUUUUUUCCACUUCUCCAGCAUAUUUAGCACCAUUCAGACAGCACUGAACUACUUAGGGAAACUGGAAGGCAGGUGAGGACAAUUGAUGACCUCAUCUACAGGUCACAGCAUGUGAGGCUACAGACCUGUGUCUGAGGUGUUGGUUUGCAGCAUUGGGCUCCUCAGGGUUCUGUGCUGUUUUGUUUUAUACAUCUCAGACUUUACAUACAACACCAGUGUUUGUCAUCUUCUGAGAUUCUCUGAUAACUCAGCAUUGUUGCUUGUGUCUCAAGGGAAUGAGCUUAAGUAUAGGUCAGUCAUUCUUUCUGGACUGGAGUGAAUGGCGAUUGCCUUCCCAGAAAGACACCUACUAACACACUGGUGAACAUCCAGAGUUUGGACAUUGAGAUGGUGAAAGGUUUUAACAGGCCGAGUGUUCAUCUCAACCAGAAACUGGACUGAACCCAUAACACUCAUGCCCUGAAGGGCCAAAUGUGGCUUUCAUGUAUCAAGGGCCUGUGGUCCUGUGUAGGGUUCAGACUCUACUGAGGACAUUCCUUUCACUCACUUUUUCUUUAGUAAGGGUUGCUGGAGCUUACUCCAGCUGUUAAUCAGGCCAUCACAGGGCCAAGUAUAGACACAGACAAACUCGUGACCUAACUGCGUGUCUUUGGACUGAGAACCAAUCCCACCCCACCCCACCCCAGCAGCCUGAUCAUAUCAGCAACACAAGGCAAAUAUUAAUUUAUGUUGCAUGUACAUAGCAUCUUGGUCCUGAAGAAACAUAGUUUACUCUCACUGCAUACUGACAAGUAUAUGGUUGCAAUCACAAUAAAAUACUACUUGACUAGAGGUAGAAUACACUUGACCGCAUGUGUAUUGUUUUUAUUACAAACCAUCAAAUUGUACAGGAGCAAAUAGUCGGUCAAAGGUGAGUCUGUUCAAACCAAUAUGAGGACAACCCUUAACAAAGAGCACAGAAUGAAAGGAAAAAACAAAA